GAUGAACGCUGGCGGCGUGCCCAACACAUGCAAGUCGAACGAAGCACCUUUUAAGAUUCUUCGGAUGAUUGAUUGGUGACUGAGUGGCGGACGGGUGAGUAACGCGUGGGUAACCUGCCCUGUACAGGGGGAUAACAGUUGAAAACGGCUGCUAAUACCGCAUAAGCGCACGAGAGGACAUCCUCUCGUGUGAAAAACUCCGGUGGUACAGGAUGGGCCCGCGUCUGAUUAGCUGGUUGGCAGGGUAACGGCCUACCAAGGCGACGAUCAGUAGCCGGUCUGAGAGGAUGAACGGCCACAUUGGAACUGAGAAACGGUCCAAACUCCUACGGGAGGCAGCAGUGGGGAAUAUUGCACAAUGGGGGAAACCCUGAUGCAGCAACGCCGCGUGAGUGAAGAAGUAUUUCGGUAUGUAAAGCUCUAUCAGCAGGGAAGAUAAUGACGGUACCUGACUAAGAAGCUCCGGCUAAAUACGUGCCAGCAGCCGCAGUAACAC
rnacentral:rRNA from 1 species